AUUGGACGCUGGCGGCAGGCCUAACACAUGCAAGUCGAACGGUAACAGGAAGCAGCUUGCUGCUUUGCUGACGAGUGGCGGACGGGUGAGUAAUGUCUGUGAAACUGCCUGAUGGAGGGGGAUAACUACUGGAAACGGUAGCUAAUACCGCAUAUCGUCUCAAGACCAAAGAGGGGGACCUUAGGGCCUCUUGCCAUCGGAUGUGCCCAGAUGGGAUUAGCUAGUAGGUGGGGUAACGGCUCACCUAGGCGACGAUCCCUAGCUGGUCUGAGAGGAUGACCAGCCACACUGGAACUGAGACACGGUCCAGACUCCUACGGGAGGCAGCAGUGGGGAAUAUUGCACAAUGGGCGCAAGCCUGAUGCAGCCAUGCCGCGUGUAUGAAGAAGGCCUUCGGGUUGUAAAGUACUUUCAGCGGGGAGGAAGGGAGUAAAGUUAAUACCUUUGCUCAUUGACGUUACCCGAAGAAGAAGCCCCGGCUAACUCCGUG
rnacentral:rRNA from 1 species